GUGGCCGUUACUCAGGCUUGCUAGGGAGUGAUGGGGCCGCAUGGUAUCUGUCGCAGAAAAUGGAGCAGAGCCGUGGCCGUUACUCAGGCCUGCCAGGGAGUGAUGGAGCCGUACGGAAUCCAUCACAGGAAGUGGAGCAGAGCCAUGGCCGUUACUCAGACCUGUCAGGGAGUGAUGGAGCCGCACAGAAUCUAUCGCAGGAAGUGGAGCAGAGUCGUGGCCAUUACUGUGGCCUGCCAGGGA
rnacentral:lncRNA from 1 species